CACAGAUCUACUCCGACGCAAGAUGCUGCCACAGGAAGAAAAGAUCUGGAAAGCAGGGGUAGCAGAGACAGCAGCCUCCGGGGGGACAAAGUGGCAGAGAGAGAGCCGGAGAGACGUGGGCCAGCCUGCACGGCCCGCUUCCUCUGCAUGCGACAAGCGUGACACAGCCCGAUCCUGCAUCGGCCGGGCCAGAUGCCGCCGUAUUCGAACACUGAUUUGCUUUAAGGCAGGGGGCUGGCAGAGCUGCCUUUGUUGACAAACACUGCCUCUGCCAGUGGAUUGUGCAAGAAUACUUUAUAAACGAGAACAAUGACAGGGAACCAGCCAGAACAAGGAAGAUGUGGAUUCAGCAUGUGCUUUUCACUGGAAAGUGUCGUUUGACCUCUGCCCUAUAAUUUCCUUAACUGUUAAAGGAAGAUCUGACUUUUUGGCUUUCAAGCCUCACGGAGGUGCUGUCAAAU
rnacentral:lncRNA from 1 species